AUGUACAGCGCUAAUGUUCAGUUCAUUGUCUCAGGUAUGAAUUUACAGAUUCAAGAUUUCCUUACACACGGGGCUUUGCAAGUUCAUUGUCUCACGCAUCCUUUAUGUUGCAUUGUUUUGUUUGGCGGAGGUGUGUUCUUGUCUUGCGAGGUUCAUCCACCGUCUACGACACCUGCAACUGGUUUGAUAUAUUUUUGGUUAAUCAUAACCAGCAAAGAGGAGGAGUCAGAUACGUGCCUGCUAUUCUUUAUGUUCUAUGAAGUGUUCCUUCAACUAAUCAAGCAAUCUGACAUUAGUACUUUGUUUGAGCCGCCGCCGAACGCUCAGCGAUGGGUUGAGUUGGUUGAGGUGUGGGUGGCGCAUUUGCUCGCCGAGGAUGGCACGUGCGCGAGCUGA
rnacentral:rRNA from 1 species